AGAGUUUGAUCCUGGCUCAGAACUAACGCUGGCGGCGUGCCUAACACAUGCAAGUCGAGCGGACACCAAUUUGUAGCAAUACAGAUGAAGUGUUAGCGGCAGACGGGUGAGUAACACGUAGGCAAUCUAUCUUUCCGACCGGGAUAACUAGCCGAAAGGUUAGCUAAUACCAGAUACGCUCAUCGAGCGGCAUCUCUUGA
rnacentral:rRNA from 1 species